CUGCUCCACACUAGGCUCCACUGUACCAUAACGCGUUUUAUUUGUCUUCAAUCUCAAAACUGGAUUCAGCGGUUUGUGGCAUGAACGUGGGCAGCUGAGGGUGCCGACGCUCGGAGCUCUGCAGCAGAACUGCCUGUGCUGUGGAAAAAGAGGAGGUCCAUGCAUGCUUCAGAACGAUGCCCACCACAGCGUUAAAGCCUUGUGAUUGGUCAUCCCCUUUAACCCCUGACUGACCACACAGAGACCACACAGAGGAGGGAGAGAGAGCGAGGCGUAUCACACAGCUGCGUUUGGGAAUUCCCUCGACCUACAGCAGUGGCACAAGUGGAGCUUUCACAUCAACACAGGGUUCAUGCUGACAGACGUUUCACACCGACCAAGGCUUCGUACCGAAUGAGGGAUCCCAGUCACAGAAAUUUUGGACUGACAGGUUUUGGUCUGCACAUCUAAACACACAAACCGCUCCGUUAAAGUGAUGCUUUUGUCAGGCCGUGUUAAAGGGGUGCAGAUCGAUGAAGAGCAGUUUGGAGUGGGUGCAUGUGCGUGUGCACUCUUUUACAGUUGCUAUUAGACACGGCUCUACCAGUGAUGCCCACAUCCUUCUAUUUUAUUAAUGUGCAUUUUCCUGUUAUCAUAUUAACAUAGCAGUGUUUCUACAGUACCUACUGAGGUAUUAACACAUCAUUGUUUCUGUUGGACCUGCUGAGGUAUUAAUACAUCAUUGUUUCUGUUGGACCUGCUGAGGUAUUAAUACAUCAGUGUUUCUGUAGGACCUGCUGAGGUAUUAACACAUCAGUGUUUCUGUAGGACCUGCUGAGGUAUUAAUACAUCAGUGUUUCUGUAGGAUGUUCCCCUUUGACACUGCCUUUGGUUUAUAUUUAGGUCACGGUAAAAUUCCCUCUUAUAUUCUAUUUCUAAUGUGAAUGAUGUCAUCCCUCCAUAUUAUUUUGUAUACUGAAUCAAGAAACAGAAGAAUUUCACAGAGCAAGCACACAAUUCGAAAAGAAACCAUUUCCCUCACUGUGUUCUGAAUGUCCCGCAUUGAGUGGGUGUUGUUUGAUCAGUAUCACACAGCAAACAUUGCAGAUCAGAACUAAAGUGCACUCACAAUGUAUAUCAGUAUUAGACUGCAAACACUCACAAUGUAUAUCAGUAUUAGACUGCAAACACUCAGUGUAGAACAGUGUUAGAUUGCAAACACUCACUUUUACAGAUGCACAUGCCAUUUGACUGUGUCACUGUACCAUUGCUGAACUGAGAGUACACCGGGCAUGUACAUAACUCUCCAGAAUGAACGUGGCUCUCACGAAAACAUGUCAUUUAGAGACAGAAUAAUGUGAUAAUACAGAAAGAAGUUAAAAAAUGAAUGAAACAUUAUUCACAAGGGAAACCUCUUGUUUAUGAGCAUUUAAUUAUAUUUUAAAAUCACAGCUUGUGGAAAAAUAUUUAAAAAAAAGCAUCUGGAGAAAAAUUAGUCAACAAGAUCAAACAACAAAAACAGCAAACAUUACGUAAAUAAGAUUAAAAAUUUCAUUGGUUGCCUCUAAGCUUCAGUUUUAAAUAUUGUAAAUUUUGUACAGUUUCAGAAAGUGUUGGCACUCUUGAUUUAUGAGCUGUUUAUUGCCACGUGUCUUUGAAAAAGAAACAAAUUCUAUUCCUGUAGCCUUUCUGUGCCACGCCGUGACUGGUGUAGUCAGAUGUGUAAGGAGAAAAUAAACCGUGGAGAUUUUGA